rnacentral:tRNA from 1 species
GCCGUUAUCGUCUAGUCUGGUCUAGGACGCCGCGUUCUCAGCGCGGAGACUCGGGUUCAAAUCCCGAUAACGGUA